UUGAACUCCUUAGAAAAAAGGCAGAAUCUGAUCUUGGUAGCUAAGCAGAGUCAGGUCUGGUUAGUACUUGGAUGGGAGACUGCCUGGAAAUACCGGAUGCAAU
rnacentral:rRNA from 1 species